rnacentral:rRNA from 1 species
AUUGAACGCUGGCGGCAUGCUUUACACAUGCAAGUCGAACGGCAGCGCGGGCUUCGGCCUGGCGGCGAGUGGCGAACGGGUGAGUAAUACAUCGGAACGUGCCCAGUAGUGGGGGAUAGCUCGGCGAAAGCCGGAUUAAUACCGCAUACGACCUGAGGGUGAAAGCGGGGGAUCUUCGGACCUCGCGCUCUUGGAGCGGCCGAUGGCAGAUUAGCUAGUUGGUGGGGUAAAGGCCUACCAAGGCGACGAUCUGUAGCUGGUCUGAUAGGACGACCAGCCACACUGGGACUGAGACACGGCCCAGACUCCUACGGGAGGCAGCAGUGGGGAAUUUUGGACAAUGGGCGAAAGCCUGAUCCAGCAAUGCCGCGUGUGUGAUGAAGGCCUUCGGGUUGUAAAGCACUUUUGGCGGGAACGAAAAGGACUAUGCCAAUACCACGGUUCGAUGACGGUACCCGCAGAAUAAGCACCGGCUAACUACGUG